UCUUCUUCGCUUCUCUUCUCCUUCUUUCUUCUUCCUUUUCUGUUAUUUCUUUGUUUUACUGCUGAAGUUUCAUCAGAUUUCUGAUCAAUUGAGAUCAACAUAGCAAGGUUUAGGGCUUGCUAGGGCUCCUAUGUAGGCUUCUUCCAGCCGACCACAUGAGGAUGCAUUAGGGAUGGAUUCUUCAGACUGUAUUGCCUGAUUCUUGGAGGUUGAUUGGAGGAAUUCUUGCUGCUCAAGAUCUGCAAUCUUGGAGAUCACCAUUAACCAGGAAGAAUCAGAGUUUAUGGAUCAGUUCAAUUGGCAUUGGCGCCCAGAGGUUUUUGGGUUAAAGAUAGUUCCUUUUUUGAGAUCGGCUGCUUGUAGGAAGAGAUUUAACCCUUUUGGAAGGAGCGGCUAGUUCUUUUCCUUUUCUCUCUAGACUGAUUCUAGGGUUUCUACUGAGAACAGGAUCUACUGACAAGGAGGGUGAUUGGAAUUGGCCGUGCUUGCUUGAGCAUCCACUUGAAGGAGCAAAGAUGUUGGGAGGUCUUAUGUGUCUCAAUCUGCAAGUCAAAUUAUGCUUUAGCAUAAUCGAUUGAGUCAUUUAUUUUUUGGGUCAUUGAAGAGUCAUUUUCCUAUUUUGUUUGAGUCUGUCCAAUUGUCUAGCCUAAGGUGUGAGAGUAGUGAACUUGCAAACCAUUGUAGAUCAACCUAUUCUUUGCGUAAUAAAAGAAGCAUUGUUCAUUUUGAAAUUGUGCAUACCAAUGUUUGGGGACCUUAUCACAUUAAUGCAAUGGGUGGUUAUAAAUAUUUCCUUCUAUUCAUUGAUGACUAUUCUCGUUUUUCUUGGAUUUACCCUAUGUAGUCUUGAGAUGAGGUUCCUACUCUAACCUGUGCAUUCCACCAGAUGAUUUUAACCCACUUUGGUUAAGGCUCAAAAUUCUCAGAUCUGAUAAUGCAAAGGAAUAUUUUGCAAAGUCCUUGGCCUCAUAUCUACUCGAAUAUGGAAUUAUCCAUCAGAGCACCUGCCCCUGUACACCUCAGUAGAAUGGAGUAGCUGAGAGAAAGAAUAGCCACAUUCUUGAAGUUGCUAGGAGCAUCAUGUUAACUUCUAAUGCUCCCAUUCAUUUUUUGGGGGAUGCCAUCCACACAGCUGUCUACUUUAUCAACGAAGUUCUUUCAUUGGUUUUAGACAUGAAAGCACAUUUUAACCUAUUAUACCUGAUAAAAACCAGUUCACUAUUCCCAUUAAGACAUUUGGGUGCAUUUGCUUUGUUCAAAUCAUUGGGCAUCAUUGUUCUAAAUUUGAUCAUAAGGCAGCCAAGUGUAUUUUUCUUGGGUAUGCACAAAAUCAAAAGGGGUAUUACUGUUAUGAUCCAGUCUCUGUGACUAGGUUUGUGUCUAUUGAUGUUACAUUCUUUGAGGAUGUCCCUUAUUACUCCAGGACUUCACCCCAGGGGGAGAGUGGUGAGCAAGAUGUUUUUGCUUAGUUCCAUUGCCUAUUCCUGUCUAUGAAGAGGAGUGUAGGGAGGGGGGAUACCAAAAGUGUAAAGGGUUGAGAGUGUUUCACAAACGAUGGUGGAAGCAGGUUGGUUCCAGUAAUGAACAGUCCGGGCCACCUCCAGUAUCCACUGCGACACUAGAUUCAGGUAUUUCACCCUCUGUUCCUACUACUUCUGUAGAUGAUAUGCCUACUAUUACCACUGAACCUCAACCUCCUACAAAUGAUCUUGACCUUCCUAUUGCAAUACACAAAGUAAAGCGUCACUGCACCUCAUCUACUACCCAUUGCAUCUCUCAAUUUCUUUCUUAUGACCAUAUUUCACCAUCAUAUAUGCCUUAGUAGUACCUGAGUGAAAGGAAGCAAUGAAGGGGUUGAAUUAUUCGAAGAUAAAGCCAUGUACCAACGAAUGGUUGGAAAGCUUCUUUACCUCUGUCUGACACACCCAGAUAUUUCUUAUCUGUUAGUGUUGUCAGUCAGUAUAUGCAGUUUCCCAAAACAUUCCAUCUUGCAAUUGAGAAGAUACUUGCCUACUUAAAAAGGUGUCCAAGCAGAGGUAUACUCUUCAAAAAUAAUGGUCAUAUGAAGAUAGAAGUGUACACUGAUGCAGACUGGGUUAAAUGUGUGGAUGAUAGGAGAUCUACCUCAGGGUACUGUGCUAUUAUUGGGGGCAAUCUUGUCUCCUGGAAGAGUAAGAAAUAAAUAGUUGUUGCCCGCUCCAGUGCUGAAGUAGAAUACAGAUCUAUGGCUAAUGGGGCGAUUGAAGUGUUGUGGUUAAAAUCACUAAUUGAGGAGUUGGAGGUUGAAUAUAAAAAACCUCUAAUGUUGUAUUGUGAUAAUUAGACUACUAUCAAUAUUGCUCAUAAUUCGAUACAACAUGAUAGAACCAAAUAUAUUGAGGUGUAUUAGCAUUUUGUCAGGGAAAGAGUUGCCUCCAAAGAAGUGUGCCUUCCUUAUGUUGCCUCCGAUAUACAGCUGGCCGGUCUCUUCACCAAAGUAGUUACAAGAGUCUAAUUAGAGACAGAUUUAUGCAAGUUGAGAAUGACUAAUAUUUAUUCCCAACUUGAAGGGGGAGUGUGGGGAAAUAGAUUUAGUGAAGCCCCUACCAUUAUCAAUUGUUUUUUUCCUUUUAUUUAAUUGUUAUUAUUUUGGACCUAUUAUUAUUUCUGUUUAUUAGUUUUCUGGGCCUUACUGGGCCCAUUGUUAUUUCUCUCAUUAUUGACUAAGGAUUGAGUUGGGCGGCAGGGGCAUAAGUGUCUUUAUGUUCUUGUUUUUAAUAAGAGUAUAUAAAUAAAAGUCCUGGGCGGCAGAUCAUUCUAUUCUGCGUCAUUUUUCUUC